rnacentral:rRNA from 1 species
AGUCGACGGCAGCACGGGAGCAAUCCUGGUGGCGAGUGGCGAACGGGUGAGUAAUGUAUCGGAACGUACCUUUCAGUGGGGGAUAACGUAGCGAAAGUUACGCUAAUACCGCAUAUUCUGUGAGCAGGAAAGCAGGGGAUCGCAAGACCUUGCGCUGAUUGAGCGGCCGAUAUCAGAUUAGCUAGUUGGUGAGGUAAAGGCUCACCAAGGCGACGAUCUGUAGCGGGUCUGAGAGGAUGAUCCGCCACACUGGAACUGAGACACGGUCCAGACUCCUACGGGAGGCAGCAGUGGGGAAUUUUGGACAAUGGGGGCAACCCUGAUCCAGCCAUGCCGCGUGAGUGAAGAAGGCCUUCGGGUUGUAAAGCUCUUUCAGCCGGGAAGAAAUCACAUGGGUUAAUACCCUGUGUGGAUGACGGUACCGGAAUAAGAAGCACCGGCUAACUACGUGCCAGCAGCCGCGGUAAUACGUAGGGUGCGAGCGUUAAUCGGAAUUACUGGGCGUAAAGCGUGCGCAGGCGGUUUGUUAAGAUAGGCGUGAAAUCCCCGGGCUCAACCUGGGAACUGCGUUUAUGACUGGCAGGCUAGAGUAUGGCAGAGGGGGGUGGAAUUCCACGUGUAGCAGUGAAAUGCGUAGAGAUGUGGAGGAACACCGAUGGCGAAGGCAGCCCCCUGGGCCAAUACUGACGCUCAUGCACGAAAGCGUGGGUAGCAAACAGGAUUAGAUACCCUGGUAGUCCACGCCCUAAACGAUGUCAACUAGGUGUUGGGUGGGUAAAACCAUUUAGUACCGGAGCUAACGCGUGAAG